rnacentral:misc_RNA from 1 species
AUGAUUCUCUUGUCUUCAUGAAUGACGUAUUGACUUGGGGUGAUGUUGAUAUAGCAGCUAGAGUUUCUGAAUCUCAUUAUGAAUCGAGAUCGGCUGCAACAUCAACACCACCAGUUGAAAAUCCAUCAUUUCGAAGGCCUCGUGCAAUGAGAGGUGCAUCCUCUUCACAAGUUGAUGAUGAUGAAGAGAAGGAAGAAUUUGUUAUGGCCGUUGUUGAAAAUGAAGAUUUUGGAAAU